CCUACGGGAGGCAGCAGUGGGGGAUAUUGCACAAUGGGGGAAACCCUGAUGCAGCGACGCCGCGUGUGGGAAGACGGUCCUCUGGAUUGUAAACCACUGUCCCCAGGGACGAAGAUGACGGUACCUGGGGAGGAAGCUCCGCCUAACUACGGGCCAGCAGCCGCGGUAAUACGUAGGGGGCGAGCGUUGUCCGGAAUUACUGGGUGAAAAGGGAGCGUAGGCGGGGAUGCAAGUUGGGUGGAAAAACUACGGGCUAAACAGGUAGUCGCACUCAAAACUGCAGUUCUUGAGUGAAGUAGAGGCAGGCGGAAUUCCUGGUGUAGCGGUGAAAUGCGUAGAGAUUAGGAGGAACACCAGUGGCGAAGGCGGCCUGCUGGGCUUUUACUGACGCUGAGGCUCGAAAGUGUGGGGAGCAAACAGGAUUAGAUACCCCAGUAGUC
rnacentral:rRNA from 1 species